rnacentral:rRNA from 1 species
GGUCCGUAGGCGGUUUAGUAAGUCAGUGGUGAAAGCCCAUCGCUCAACGGUGGAACGGCCAUUGAUACUGCUAAACUUGAAUUAUUAGGAAGUAACUAGAAUAUGUAGUGUAGCGGUGAAAUGCUUAGAGAUUACAUGGAAUACCAAUUGCGAAGGCAGGUUACUACUAAUGGAUUGACGCUGAUGGACGAAAGCGUGGGUAGCGAACAGGAUUAGAUACCCUGGUAGUCCACGCCGUAAACGAUGGAUACUAGCUGUUGGAAGCAAUUUCAGUGGCUAAGCGAAAGUGAUAAGUAUCCCACCUGGGGAGUACGUUCGCAAGAAUGAAACUCAAAGGAAUUGACGGGGGCCCGCACAAGCGGUGGAGCAUGUGGUUUAAUUCGAUGAUACGCGAGGAACCUUACCAAGGCUUAAAUGUAGAUUGACCGGUUUGGAAACAGACUUUUCGCAAGACAAUUUACAAGGUGCUGCAUGGUUGUCGUCAGCUCGUGCCGUGAGGUGUCAGGUUAAGUCCUAUAACGAGCGCAACCCCUGUUGUUAGUUGCCAGCGAGUCAUGUCGGGAACUCUAACGAGACUGCCAGUGCAAACUGAGAGGAAGGUGGGGAUGACGUCAAAUCAUCACGGCCCUUACGCCUUGGGCUACACACGUGCUACAAUGGCCGGUACAGAGAGCAGCCACUGGGUGACCAGGAGCGAAUCUA